UACUAUCCAAACCCGUAAUUCUCAGGAUUCAGAUGCAAUUCUGUGGAUGUAUAUAAAAUUUCCAUUGCCUGGCGGCAUAUUCAUUUCUCUGUCGUUUUUCGGUUACGGAAAUGGCUUCCAUCACUCGGUUUCAUCCUCUCCACCCAGCUGCUCUGCUCAAUCCCUCUGCAACUUCAUUCAAGUUUCAUCGCUCCUUCCCUUUCUUCUCUAUCCACACCCGUAGAAACAGCUAUCUUCGCCGCAGUUGCGAUGGGGAGGUUAAUACUCGCAAACUUCACGCAACACCACAAGUCCGGUGUAAUUCAAAGAACGGUGGUUCGAGCACUGAAUCGAGUCAGUCUGUAGUUGGCGAUCUGCUGGACUUUCUCAACGAGUCCUGGACUCAGUUUCAUGCUACCGCUGAAGCAAAGCGCCAACUUCUUGCUGCUGGAUUUCAUUUGUUGAAUGAGAAUGAAGAGUGGAAAUUGAAGCCUGGUGGUCGCUAUUUUUUCACACGUAACAUGUCCUCAUUAGUUGCCUUUGCGAUUGGGGAAAAGUAUUUGGUUGGGAAUGGCUUUCAUGUGAUUGCUGCACAUACAGACAGCCCAUGUCUUAAAUUGAAGCCGAAUUCUGCAUCAUCCAAAUCUGGUUAUCUUAUGGUCAAUGUACAAACUUACGGUGGUGGUUUAUGGCACACUUGGUUUGAUAGAGACCUAAGUCUUGCUGGAAGGGUUAUUCUUAGAAAUGAUGAUGGUUCGUUUUCACAUGAGCUGGUCAAGAUAAAUAGACCUAUAUUGCGGGUGCCGACUCUUGCUAUUCAUCUUAACAGGACAGUAAAUACUGAUGGUUUUAAGCCAAACCUUGAGACACAACUCAUCCCUCUGUUGGCAACAGAAGCUGACAAAGAAUAUUCUAAGCCUGAUGAAAAAACUAGUUCGUCAUCUUCAAAAGAUACCAGCCAUCAUCCACUGCUAAUGCAGAUUUUGGCAGAUGAACUGGGUUGUAAGGUUCAAGAUAUUGCAAGCAUUGAGUUAAACGUGUGCGACACUCAACCCAGCUGCCUUGGUGGUGCCAAUGAUGAAUUCAUAUUUUCUGGAAGAUUGGAUAAUCUAGCUUCAAGCUUUUGUGCAUUGAGAGCUCUCAUUGAUGCUUGUGCCUCCCCAGAAGAUUUAGAAAAUGAGCAUGCAAUUCGAAUGGUUGCUUUAUUUGACAAUGAAGAGGUUGGUUCAGAUUCUUACCAGGGGGCAGGUGCCCCAACUAUGUUCGAGGCAAUGAGAACGAUAUGUGCUUCUUUAGGUCAACAUUCUGUUACUGAAGGUGGCUUUGCUCGUGCAUUUCGCCACUCUUUUCUCGUGUCUGCUGACAUGGCUCAUGGAGUGCACCCAAAUUUCAUAGAUAAACAUGAAGAAUAUCAUCGACCAAUGUUGCAAAAAGGCCUUGUGAUAAAGCAUAAUGCCAACCAACGUUAUGCUACAAGCGGAGUUACAUCUUUCCUGUUCAAUGAAGUUGCUAGCAUUCAUAAUCUUCCCACUCAGGGAGAAGGAUGAUGCCAAAAAAAUGCAGUAGAUCAAGGCCUUGGAGGCAUAUAUGGAGGAACUUUGAACAGCCGUGGUGGCUUGAAAGGUAUUAUUGCCGUGCCCGGAGUCGAAAGUGGAUUGAUAGGUAAAUACAUUGAAGGAAAAGCUUCUACUGGCCAUGCAAACUACAAUCCUUGUGUCCCGGAUCGGAGCCUUGACUGAGUAACACCGGGGAACGCCCUGUAACGUGCCCUUCGUCUAUUGCCUUGGUAUAAAAGCCUUGAUCCGUCUUCGGCUUCGAUUCGUUAUGCUCAGAAGCUCCAACAAGCCCUAAAAUCUCUCAAGACAUUUAGAGAGGCUAGCGGAAAUCUCUCAAGACAUUUAGAGAGGCUAAUGAAAAUCUCUCAAGACAUUUCGGAAUCUCCUGAAAUAUUCUGGAACACUCCACAAGUACCGAGAUCGCCCCUUGACCAAGUCGAUGUCUAUCCGUUAAAUAUAGCUUAUCCAUCUCUUGUAUAGUUUAUCCUUAUCUAUAUGUUGUAUAGAUAGUCUAUCAAAAUAUGAAUAUAUUUUGGCUUGUGUUAGGCCUGAUCCGCUAGAGUGCCUAUAUAUAGAGGAGUCACAACUCAUUUUGUCACACUUUGCUACAUAGAGAGCUAUACACACUCUAUUUUGCUAGGUGUAGUUUUACGGUGUCUUUGUUUUCCAGCGGACAUGUGUUCGAGGAGGAACCAUUCGACCCAUUACAUAUGGUAUUAGAUCCGAUUUUUGAGAGAAUGGCGGCUGAAAAGUCCGAUACUGAGUUCGAGGUUGAGAACUAAGUUCUGAGGCGGAACCAAAGGAAUACAAAGGACAAGUCUAUUGUUGCCGUGGGAGCUUUCGACAAUAGGUUGGCCAAGGUGGAGCUGACUGUCGGGGAUCAUCACAACAAGGUUGACUAGGUAGAAUAACGGAUCUGCGAACUCGAAGGUAGCGAGCUUUGCGAAUGGGUACUGGCCUUGGUUGAUAAUGUGGGGGAUGACUUGGAAGCGGGAACUGAAAGUACAAGAGCUCGCCAAGGGGAUGAUGGCCGAGGUGAUCACUCUCAAGGAGAGCUAUGCAACAAGCAAUCUUGAGCUAGUAAGUGCAAAGUCAAGAUUGCGAAGUUGGAGAAGACUAAGGUUGCGGAACCUUCGAAUAUUCAAGAGGAGUUGGCAGUGAUGAGAGUGACGCUAGCUGAACUCCAGGCGAUGAGGCCGAGUAAGACUACUCCGGCAGUCCCAAAGGAAAAUAUCCCGUGUUCUAAGAGUUAUGCAGGGAAGUGAAAGGCGCGAGCGGUGGAUGCUCUCUCUAUGAUAUAGAGAAAAAAUUCGAGGAUUCUGGCAUUAUGGGAGAUGAAGCCAAAAUCCGAAUUGUAUCCAGAUUCCUGAAGGACUUGGCCCGCACUUGGUGGAGACGGAACAAAAGGAUGCACAAUGAUGAUGGCGGCAUCAUGACAUGGAGAAUGUUCAAGCGUGAACCUAAGGAAGAGUUUGCACCGGCCGACGCAGAGGAAGCAUGGUGUACGAUCCAUCGGUUGGACCAUCGAAAAGGUCACUUGAAGGAGUAUAUCGAGAAGUCCUCUGAUCUAUUGUUGGAAGUGUCAAAUAUGUCUUUUAAGAAGGCGUUAACGUUCUUCGAGACCUAUGACUGUGGGCCAAGCUGAGGAUUAUGAAAAAACUUCUUUAAAAUGUCAAUGAGGCCAUCAGGUACCCUUAAUGGUUGCUUGAAGUUGAGUGGAAAGAGUCAAAUAAGGAUGAUAAGUUGAGACGAAGGCAGAAGUGGGGAUAUCAAACCCGGAAAUUCCCAUGAGAUUGUGAUGCCGGAAAUACUCGGUAGCAACCCGCAGCUAGAGCUAGGAACACGACUGCAGGGGCAAAGAUCACUAUACUAGGGAUUGUCCAAGUAGGGAAGGCCUUGCGGUGGUGGACGAACAGACCGAGGCAAGCGAAAAACGAGUGGCAUGUACAAAGUCAAUCCCUGCUAAUACCCUUGGAGGGAGGAUGCUCAUUAAUGCAUGGAUAAAUAGAGUACUGGCGACGUGUUUUCUUGAAAUGGAUGUAAAAGACAAAUACAUAAGUGAGUAUAUGGCCCGUAAGAUUUGCCUAUGAUGGGCACCUUCUGGAUGGCGGUUUAAGGGAGUCAAUGGUGGGUGGACUCCCAAAUCUGUCGUAGCCAAAGACAUGCCCAUCCAGCUCAGCAAUUGGAAAGGUACAAAAUUAUUCAAUUUAGCCCCUCUCAAUCAAGCCUGGAGCCCCAACCCGUUUUUGGAUGAUUAUGCAAUAUUUCUAAGGAUGAGGUUCAUAGAUCACGUCAAACCCAUACUGGUGCCACACAAGCAAAAGUUUACGAUCAUUGAGGAUGGGACGCCGUGUGACAUGGUGUACAGAGGGAAGGAGCUCAGCCCGAAACAACUCGAGAAAGGGUCUAAAGAAAGAAGAGCUGACUUUUGCGGCUAUUCUGAGUGAUAGGACGUCCGUGGGAUGGUGAGAAAGAGGUUGGGGGCCCGCCUAAGGACCUAGAGCCAGUCCUUAAGGAGUUCAAAGAUAUCAUGCCAGAUGAUCUGCCUAAGGGGCUGCCCUCUCGACGGGCUAUCGAUUAUACCAUUGAUUUGGUGGAAGGGGCAAAAUCGGUCUCUGGCCUGCUUACUGGAUGUCUCUGACGAGUUGGCGGAUGUUGAGAAGCGGUAGCCUAUGCAUGAGAAGGAAAUGCUCGCAGUGGUACAUUGUUUACAAGUAUGAGAGCAUUACUUAAGGGGGGUUGCCCUUUACGAUCUCCACCGACAAUUGAGCUUUAAGUUAAUUUAAUCUCAAAAGAAAUUGAUAGGAAAACAAGCGUGGUGGCUUGACUUUCUUGCAGAGUUCAAGUUUGAGAUCAAGUACUGACCCAAAAAGAUGAAUGCCACAACCGAUACUGAGUCGCAAGAUGGCGGCUCUUUACUCUAUUGAUGGGGAUAUUGUAGAUCAAAUACGUGAGGGUCUGGUGCACUAUGAGUUCGUUCAUGCGAUGUUUCAAUAGAUUGAGGAAGGGAGGACUCAGAAAUAUUUUCUGAAGGAUGGCCUAGUCAUGACCAAGGGCUAUCGGACGUAUGUGCCAAAGUGGAGAAACUAGAGAUGAGAUAUAUUGCGGGAGUGUCAUGAUACAAAAUAUGCAGAGUUCAUACCCGCGCUGAAGGAGGAUACGGCGGAGACGACUGCCAAGUUCAUGAGCUAUGUCUUAAAGUAUUGGAGCUUUCCAACAAACAUUGUUAGUAAUUGAGACUCACGAUUCACAGGAAGAUUUUGUAUGGAGCUCUCUCGACUAUUGGGGUCAGAGUUGAAGAUGUCGACGAUGAUGCACCCCUAGACCGAUGGGCAGAUGGAGCAUGUCAAUCACGUAUUAAAAGUGUACUUUCGACACUUUAUUAAGGUAAAUCAACUCAAUUCCACUGCUCUACUUGAUGUUGCACAAUUCUAUUUUAGACUGCAAAUAAACAAAAGUACGAGAAAGAGUCCAUUCGAGAUAAUGCUCGAAUUUCAGCCCAUAACGCCGAAGGAUAUAGUGAGAACAUACAAGGGACCAAGCCCACAGGCAUUCCACUUUGCCAAAUGUUGGCAAGAUCGUGCAGAAGUUGCCCGACUUUAGUAAAAGUCUCAAAAAAAAUGAAAAAGUGGACAGACCAGAAGAGGGUGUUCCGAGAAUUCAAAAAAAAGGCAUAGUGCCCGUGAAGUUAUACCAACACGGCCAUGUUCGAGGAGUGCAUAAAGGCUUGAUGCGUAGGUAUGAAGGCCCAUUUCCGGUUUGGAAGAAGAUUGGCGAGGUGGUGUACAAGUUGAGCUGCGUAAGACCUUAUCCUAGUUUCACCCCGGGUUCCACGUCAGUCCAUUGAUGCCAUAUCGUAGUAAUAUUCAGACCCCACGGGCACCCCCUGGCAUGCGGACAGUGUACAACAAAGUGGCGGAGGAAAUCUUGACUGACAGAGUGGUUCGGCACAAGAAUCGACCCCCAUUGACGGAGUACUUGGUCAGGUAGUGUAGAUUACCCGAGUCCGAGAUGAGUUGGGAGCCGGCCAAAGACUUAUGGCAGUUUGUGGAUUUUGUUCAAGACUUUGAGGCAUUGAGAGCAAUGCCUAGUUCUGGUGGAGUAGGAUAUCCCGGACCGGAACCUUAGCCGAGAAAUGCCGAGGAAUGCUCUGCGACGUGCCUAAAUGGAGAGGCUAGUAGAAAUCUCUCAAGACAUUUCGGAACCUCCCGAAACGUUCCAAAAUAUUCCAAAAAUACUGAGAUCGCCCAUUGACCGAGUCGAUGUCUAUCCAUAGACAUAGUUUAUCCAUAUAUUUUGUAUAGUUUAUCCUUAUCUAUAUGUUGUAUAGAUAGUUUACCCGAGUAUGGAUAUAGUUUGACAUGUGUUAGGCCUGGUCAACUAGAGUGCCUAUACAUAGAGGAGUCACCUCAUUUGUAACACACUUCGCUACGCAGAAAGCUAUACACUAUUUUUCCGGGUGCAUUUUUACUGUGUCCUUGUUUUUCAUUUUAGUGUGCUUUUGUGGUUGUGUAUGAGGCUGUACUAGCAAGUUUCUUAUGAGUGCCGAUGAGUUUUUAGGCCAAUAGAAAGGUCAUCAAGGAGGAAUCAUCCGACCCGCUACACUGCUUAUUUCAGGCUGCCUACCACGCCCAUCAAAAGCUCAGCGGCAGCCAAUGGACCUGUGGCGGGAGGAGGUUAGGCGGCUGGCUCAUCUACAAAAAUCAUGGGCAAACCAAGGGCAAAACACGUAAUUACCGAUGGGGGAUGUUUGAGGGGCCUAGAAUGUCUCGACAAUGGAGUUCAAACUUUAGGAUGUGCAACUAGUCAGCUUUGAUGGCCAUGGCCCCUUAGGAUGGGUUGUGCUAUGGCAGAACAACCCUUGUGUUGCACAGGGUCUCCGAGGAGAUCAAAGUGAGUUUGCGCACCAAUCUAGUACGGUACCAGAGACCGGAAAUUGUUCAAAACUUGCAGGAUAUAAUGGAGGUUGAAUUCAAUGUCCUACUAUUAAAUUCGGACACUGAGAACCUCCCAAAUAGCCCUGAAAAUGCGCCUGUGAUGCGACUAAAAGUCGCGCAUGUCUUGGAGAAAUUCUGUGACAUGUUUGGUGAACCUACAAAGCAGCCACCGACUUUCUACAACAACCAGAUUCCAUUGAAACUAGGAGCAGGUCCUAUUUCAGUACAUCCUUACAGCUAUGGACAGAUUCAGAAAGACGAGAUUGAAUGGAUUUCUAGGGCUGUCAGGCCAUUACCAACACUUUUUGCAACACUAUGGCAGCAUCGAUUGCCCAUUAAUGGAUUUUAUAUGCAAGAAAGCUAUAGAGAGAGUUUUCAUGGCCGCCCUCCAGGCAGGCUGCCUUCGACAGACUAAACAUGCCUUUAUAACAACUCCGGUGCUUUCCAUGCUAGAUUUGUAGUGGAGUGUGAUGCCUUAAGCUCCAGUAUUGGUGGGGUACUCAUGCAAGAGUUUAGGCAUAUUGUUUAUUUCUGCAAGGCACUAGGAGAUCGAACUCGGAGAAAAUCACCCUAUUAACAGGAAUUAAUGAGUUUAGUGUAUCUAUCCAACAUUGGUGCCUCUAUCUCAUUGGUCACCACUUCAUGGUGCACAUGAAUCAUCAUAGUUUGCACCAUUUAUUUUCUCAUCAGAAGAUUGGGAUCUGUGCUUAAGAAUCUUGAAUGAUCAAACUUCUAGGAUACUCUUUCGGCGUGGUUUAUAAAUUAGGCCACCUAAACUUGCCAUUGAUUCCUUCUCCUGCAAGAUUGACCAUUCAUUAUUAUCUCCGGAUCAUGCAUAGAAGUGGCUUGUCACGAAGGGUGUACUCAGGUGUAUAGGGAGCACUAUACAAAAACUCUCCCUUGUCGUCAAGAUGUCUUAUAUUCAUCUUUUUCUCUCUAUGGCAGUUACGUGUAGUUGGCCUAUUUAUAAGAUGGGCGUAAAAAAUGUCUUCUUGCUUGGUGAGCUUCGGAAGGAGGUGUAUAUGGAUCAACCACUUUGUUUUGUUGUUCAGGGAGAGUCUGGUCUCCUUUGUUGCCUUUGUUGCUUACUCUAAAACAAUCUCUACGAGUGUGGUUGGGACAUUUCCGUCUUGUUAUUCAAGAAUUUGAGAUAAUAGAAUGUUCAUCUGAUCAUACCAUAUUCUAUAGGCAUACUCUAAAAGGACAGGUGCACUUAUUUGGUUGUCUAUGUUGAUGAUAUUGUAAUCACCUCACACCUGGGCAUGAUAUGGAUGGCAUCACACGGUUGAUGAAGCACCUGCAUAACCAUUUUCAGACUAAGGAUUUAGGACCUCUAUGGUAUAUCUUAAUCAGUUCCUUCGGUCUCCGUGUGACUCUCAUUGGAAGGCAAUUAUGAAUUUGUCGUAAGAAAUGAUAUGGGAUGUGGAUCAACUAUAGGUCCCAUACUUGCUUCAGGAGUUGGGAUUCGGACCGUUGAUUGUGGUAUAGCUCAGUUAUCUAUGCACAG